CCUCCCUGGACUGUGUACAUAGGGUGUUUGUCGUCCUCAUUUCUCUAUCCUCCAUGCCUAGCACAGGACUGGGCCACAUUUUAGGUGCUCAGUAAAUGUUUGCUGAAUGAAUGCAAAGGCUUCGUGGAGGAGGCAGCGUUUGACCUGGGGCUUCGACACUGGAGAGGCUGCUGACAGGUGAAGAUGUGGUGGCGGGUAGAGGGGAUCACCCCCUCAAGAGGAUGAGUGACAAGGCCAUCUUAGAAGGAUCAUCCUGGCUGCAGUGUGGGGAGUGGUGAUUCUGGUGUUGGAUAUUGGGUGCACCUGGCCUCUGUACACAGAUCCCUCAGUCCAGAGGCAGCAAGACAGAAGUCACAUCGAGUUUGAGUCUUACCUCCAGGGGGAAUGGUCACCUCCUUGAUGUGGAUGGGACUCCAGGAAGUGGGGUGGCCAUUUCAUGACCGUGAGUAUGAAACCAACGUGAGGACAGCAGGGCAGACCUGGAAUGGACCUGAGAGAUGGCAUAUCCGUGAGGACAUGGCCAAGCCAUUCAGUUAAUCUACCACUGAGUGGCAGGGUACUUAUUUUUUUAAGCCAAGUGAAUUAGGGUCUUCUGUUUGGAACUAGAAUCAUAAAGGAUACAGUCCAUAAGUCCCCCUGGUAACCAAACCAAAUGGUGCCAUUUCCCUCCUCCACAGCAGUCAGCACCACUAAACACUCCCUCCACCCUUAAACCUUCUUUCUGGGAUCCCAUGCUCACCUGGUCCUCCUCAUACCCCUUGGGUCACUGCUUCUCAGCCUCCUUUCUUGUCUCUUCCUCCUCUGCCUACUUUUAAAUCUACCUUUGUUUUCUAGGCUCUCAUCCAGAACCAUGACGUGCGUGCUGUGUGUCGAUGCUACCAAAAUAUGUGUCUCCAGCCCAGAACUCUCUUCGGAGCCCCAGUCUCAUAUACAACGGCCUGUUGACCCUCUCAAUCCAAUCAUUGCCCAGGCUUUUCAAACUUGCCUUCUUAGCCAAACUUGAUCUUUCCCCUCAAUCUGAGCCUUCUGCAGGCUUUACCACCUUAGUCAAGGACUCUUUCAUUCCCUCAUACCCGAGGCAAAGAUGGAGGUGUCAUCGCUGAUGCUUCAACAACCACCCACAUCCCAUCUGAGAUUCUUUGCAUCUCCACCUCCCCAAGCCACAAGUUUGCCAAGGUCACAGGUUAGCAUCUGGAAACCUUCAGCAGCCUUCUACCUGGUCUCCCCACACCCACUGGAAAGUGUUUCCUGAGCCAUGAAGCCAGGGUGGCCUUUCAGAAACCCAUUCCCAUGAUGCAAAUGGUUCUCCUUAUUCUCAAGGUAAAAUCCAAAUUCAUUAGGUAGCACUAUCUGCUCUACUUGCUCAUUCCUCACCCUCACUGGCUCCUUCCCUCCUCCACAGCAUCUGGGACAAGUGGUUCUUUCUGCCUAGAAUGUUUCCCCUCUCAGUCUUGCCCCAAACAACUCUUAACUAUCCUUGGUUUUUAGCCUAAAUGCCAGCUUCCCAAGGAGAGUCCACCCUCACUCUUCACCCUACAUUUGUUGUUGUUGUUUAGUUGCUACCUUGUGUCCAGUUGCAACCCCAUGGACUGCAGCCCACCAGGCUCCUCUGUCCAUGGGAUUUCCCAGGCAAGAGUACCCGAGCUGGUUGCCAUUUCCUUCUCCAGGGAUCUUCCCAACCUAGGGAUCGCAUCUCUUGCAUCUUCUGCAUGGGCAGGCAGAUUCUUUACCACUGAGCCACCUGGGAAGCCCUCACCCUACAUUAGGACUCCAUUAAUUUUUCAUAACACUCUUCAUUCUCCCCCAGCACUUCCCAUCAUGCAUAAUUAUAUAUUGAUUUGAUUAAAAUUAUUAACAGUGAUCAUUUUGAUGUUUUAAAAUUUUAUUGACAUAUAGUUGAUUUACAGUGUUGUAAUUUAUGCUGUACAGCAGUGACUCAGUUAUACACACAUAUAUAUACAGUUCUUUUCAUAUUCCUUUUCAUUAUGGUUUAUCAUAGAAUACUGAAUACAGUUCCCUGUGCUUUACAGUAGGAUCUUAUUUAUCCAUUCUGUAUGUUGCAUCUGCUAAUCCCAGAUUCCAAAUCCAUCCCCCUCCCCUCAACAAGUCUGUUCUCUGUGCGUCGAUUUCGUAGAUUUGUUCAUUUGUGUCAUAGUUUAGAUUCCACACGUAAGUAAUUUGAUGACCAGCCUCCCACCCUCCCCGACUUUCCCCCACUAACCGGGCAGCGUUUUGAGUUAAAACAGUGCCUAUGUCACUCUCCAUUCUAUCCUCUUGCCUUUAGCACUGCACUUACAUAGUAAGUGCUCAAGGAAUGUGUUUAAUCAGCUAAUAAAUGGAUACAUUGAGUCAUUUAAUUCCUAUAACAACCCUGUUAUGUAGGCAUCCAAUCAGACGGGGAAGCGAGGAGUCAAGGCAAGUAGCAAAGUACAGCACAAGGGGAAGUUAGGUUCUGAUCCAAGUCAAAUCGUAAAUUCUGAGCCGGAAUAUUUCCGCUCCUGACCGCUGGCCUUGGUAAAGGGGCCGGAGAGGAGGCCGACUUAAGGGUUUCCCCGCAGGACACGGGUCAUCCCCAAAAGUGGAAGUGCUCACCUACGGACACUAGGGUACACCCCCUCUGCUCCCCGAGUGUAAAGAUCACAAUCUACUGCAUAUGCAUGAGGGGACCAAGGGCGCUGUGACUCGGGGCUGUUCAGGACACGCCUGAUCAAAAACUCUUCGGAUUUGAAGCGUCCAGAGCCCGCAGAUUUCGGCACACACUAAUAAAAAUCUUCAAAUGGUCAUCUAUGCAAAUGUUAAGAGCGUAUGAGGCCAGGGUGAGCCCCCAGAAUUUAGGUCGCUUGAUCAGGCGUCUGAUGUAGGCAGCCCGAUUCCAGGAGGGGUCCUCGACCGGCUCGACUAGAAGACGAAGGGGGCGGCUCCCCGGCUUCCUGCGGCGUCGGUGGCGAGCUGAGGUGGAAGAGGGUCGCGGCAGCGAAGGCGACAGCAGUGGCGGCGGCGCCAUGGCGGGUCUCGCAGGAUCCCUGCUGCCUUGGUGAUCCCGGGCUGACAGCCAGAGAGCACAGCGGCUCAGCUCCUGGAGAGCGAGGGUUGAAGAAAGCAGAGGGCAGCCGCCCGCGCCCGCUAGCUCCUAUUAGGUCGGUUCCUGCAGCGGUGCCCGGUGGCCUUGGCGAAGGCCCUGUCCGG